GAGGUAGAGGCGCGGUAUUUAUUAGUUCAUUGUUGAGUACAAGCAAACAAAGACGCAAUGAAGAAGGAAAUAUCGCCGAAGUAUAAAAGGAGCUCGUACUUUUAUGCUGGGUCUGCAGUGAAUAAGUGCAGGACUGUCCUAGUAAAU
rnacentral:ncRNA from 1 species